GACCAGGGAUGGGAAUCGAACCCACAGUGUUCCGCUUACCGGGCAGAUGUCCUGUCCACUAGGCUACCCUGGA
rnacentral:tRNA from 1 species